rnacentral:rRNA from 1 species
AUUGAACGCUGGCGGAAUGCCUUACACAUGCAAGUCGAACGGCAGCACGGGUGCUUGCACCUGGUGGCGAGUGGCGAACGGGUGAGUAACAUAUCGGAACGUAUCCAAUAAUGGGGGAUAACUAAUCGAAAGGUUGGCUAAUACCGCAUACGCCCUACGGGGGAAAGCUAGGGACCUUCGGGCCUGGCGUCAAUGGAGCGGCCGAUAUCUGAUUAGCUAGUUGGUGGGGUAAGAGCCCACCAAGGCGACGAUCAGUAGCUGGUCUGAGAGGACGACCAGCCACACUGGAACUGAGACACGGUCCAGACUCCUACGGGAGGCAGCAGUGGGGAAUUUUGGACAAUGGGCGCAAGCCUGAUCCAGCCAUUCCGCGUGAGUGAAGAAGGCCUUCGGGUUGUAAAGCUCUUUCGCAAGGGAAGAAAACUUAGCCUCUAACAUAGGCUGAGGUUGACGGUACCUUGAUAAGAAGCACCGGCUAACUACGUGCCAGCCGCCGCCGUAAGAC